rnacentral:tRNA from 1 species
GGGGCCGGAUGUGUAGCUGGUGCUUGCCGAGGUCUUCAAAACCUUCUGGGAGGCGCGUGACGUCUCCGGUGGGUUCGAUUCCCACACGGUCCCGCCA